AGAGUUUGAUCAUGGCUCAGAACGAACGCUGGCGGCAUGCCUAACACAUGCAAGUCGAACGAGACCUUCGGGGUCUAGUGGCGCACGGGUGCGUAACGCGUGGGAAUCUGCCCUUGGGUUCGGAAUAACAGCGAGAAAUUGCUGCUAAUACCGGAUGAUGACGUAAGUCCAAAGAUUUAUCGCCCAAGGAUGAGCCCGCGUCUGAUUAGUUAGUUGGCGGGGUAACGGCCCACCAAGACGAUGAUCAGUAGGGGUUCUGAGAGGAAGGUCCCCCACACUGGCACUGAGAUACGGGCCAGACUCCUACGGGAGGCAGCAGUAGGGAAUAUUGGGCAAUGGUCGGAAGACUGACCCAGCCAUGCCGCGUGAAGGAUGAAGGGUCUACGACUUGUAAACUUCUUUAGCUAGGGAAGAAAAAGAGAGUGCGCUCUUUAUUGACGGUACCUAGAGAAUAAGCACCGGCUAACUACGUG
rnacentral:rRNA from 1 species